AUUGAACGCUGGCGGCAUGCUUUACACAUGCAAGUCGAACGGUAACAGGGAGCUUGCUCCGCUGACGAGUGGCGAACGGGUGAGUAAUGCGUCGGAACGUGCCGAGUAGUGGGGGAUAACGCAUCGAAAGGUGUGCUAAUACCGCAUACGUACUGAGGUAGAAAGUGGGGGACCUUCGGGCCUCACGCUAUUCGAGCGGCCGACGUCUGAUUAGCUAGUUGGUGAGGUAAAGGCUCACCAAGGCGACGAUCAGUAGCGGGUCUGAGAGGAUGAUCCGCCACACUGGGACUGAGACACGGCCCAGACUCCUACGGGAGGCAGCAGUGGGGAAUUUUGGACAAUGGGCGCAAGCCUGAUCCAGCCAUGCCGCGUGUCUGAAGAAGGCCUUCGGGUUGUAAAGGACUUUUGUCCGGGAGCAAAUGCCUGGUGUUAAUAGCAUCGGGAGCUGAGAGUACCGGAAGAAUAAGCACCGGCUAACUACGUGCCAGCCGCCGCUGUAAUAC
rnacentral:rRNA from 1 species